CUAUGCGCCUUGCCAGCCCGCUCAGGUGUGCCAGCAGCCGCGGUAAUACGUAUGGAGCAAGCGUUAUCCGGAUUUACUGGGUGUAAAGGGAGCGCAGGCGGCUUUGCAAGUCUGAUGUGAAAGGCCGGGGCUCAACCCCGGGACUGCAUUGGAAACUGUAAAGCUAGAGUGCCGGAGAGGUAAGCGGAAUUCCUAGUGUAGCGGUGAAAUGCGUAGAUAUUAGGAGGAACACCAGUGGCGAAGGCGGCUUACUGGACGGCAACUGACGCUGAGGCUCGAAAGCGUGGGGAGCAAACAGG
rnacentral:rRNA from 1 species